rnacentral:lncRNA from 1 species
UUUCUUUUAUAGCCUCAGGCAAUUUGAUGUUGUUGUUAUUCAUCUAACUAAUGGAGAGCAAUGACCAAAAGGACAUGUGUUAUAGUUAAAUUUUAGCAAAUGUGUACUAAUGUUGAUUACAGCAGGAGGGUCAAAAAAAAAAAACAACAAAAAAACACACAGACCAGCCCAGGCCUAUGCUUGUCACAAGGAAAACAAACAAAAGUCUGUAAAUCAAAAGGCUUGGUUUGAUUUCCUAACCUUAUAUCAUUUGGGGCACUCUAAGAGUCCAUAAAAGAUUUUUACAGACUGCUAAAAAUGUCCUCCAAAUGUUCAUCUUAAGUUAGUAAUAUAGGUGAGAGUAUUGCUUGUCACCUACUUUGAAUAAAUCAAUGCAGACCUUACCCAGGAAAAAGUUUAGAACUUUCUCCUCAAGCUUAAAAACAGUACUGAUUGCCAGGCAAGGUGGCUCAAGCCUGUAAUCCCAGCACUUUGGGAGGCCGAGGUGGGCGAAUCACCUGAGGUCAGGAGUUUGAGAGCAGCCUGACCAACAUGGUGAAACCCCGUCUCUACUAAAAAUACAAAAAUUAGCCAGGCGUGGAGGUGUGCAAUCCCAGCUACUCGGAAGGCUGAGGCAGGAGAAUCGCUUGAACACGGGAGGCAGAGGUUGCAGUGAGCCGAGAUCGCGCCACUGCACUCCAGCCUGGGUGACAGACUGACUCUGUCUCAAAAAAAUGAAAACAAAAACAAGAGAAACACAGUACUCAUGAAAGCAGCGUUUGACAAUCAGCAGUGUCCGGCUUCCCAGGAUAAGGAAGAUCUGGUGGCGAAAAGGACUUCGGAAGAGCGCGCCUCCGGUGCUAAUCAGCAGAGCGGGGAGAUCAAGAAACCCAGACCUGCACUCUUCCAGGCCCUCUUUCUAGGGCGGCAGAGCCUGGCUGGUGGGGUGGCUGUCAGCUGUCUCCGUGGGAAGACCUUCCAGCCUGGCCAUCAGGGAAAGUGCCGGUGUUGACUUUGCAGAGCAGGACUCUGGAAAGCAGACCGCCUGGGUCCUGAUGGACGUGUGAGCAUCAGAAGGCCAGUGGCUUGUGUCAUCCAGGCUCAGGGUCAGAGGCCGGCGCUGCGUUGCUGGUGAGACUCAGGGACACAGUGAAGCCCUAGCUGUAGCUUGGUGGGUUUCCCUUCAGAAGUCGAAGAGGCUGCCCAUUGGUCCCUCCGGCAGCACUGCCAUCUGGAUGCCAGGUUCAUUAACCUCAGACUUCCACUGACCAGACAGCACUGAGCUUGUCACCAGGGGCAGGAAAAUGUCCUUUGCUUACCUAAUAUUCUCCAUGGCUUUGCAAACAAGCCAUGCUUCACGGUUGGUCUUGAACCUUAGCAUAAUGUUAUCCUGAUUUAUACCCAAGUCCCCACGUUUCCCCUUGAGGAGACUGUACACUUUGGUGCUGUGUGAAGUGAUCCCUAUCUGUGCUGUUUCUAAUCCAUUUGUAAAACCAUUUACAAGCUGAUUGGGGAGGCAAGGUGGUCCAUAAAUGCCUGG